CGCAGAUCUCCUCCUUCUUCAAACCCCAAACCCUUGCAGCGGCCAUCGGAGCCGGAGCCGGAGCCGUAGCCAUGGCCGGAGGCGUGAAGGACGUGCAGUCCCAGGCGGAGCUUGAGGCGGCGAUCCGCGGGCCGAAGCCGGCGAUACUCCACUUCUGGGCGGAGUGGUGCGAGGCCUCCAAGCAGAUGGAUCAGGUCUUCGCCCACCUCGCCGUCGACUUUCCCCACGCCCUCUUCCUCAGGGUGGAAGCUGAAGAGCAACCCGAAAUCUCAGAGGCUUAUGCCGUUUCAGCAGUUCCAUUCUUUGUCUUCUGCAAGGACGGCAAAACCGUCGACACACUCGAAGGUGCAAACCCGUCCAGUCUGGCCAACAAAGUCGCCAAAAUAGCUGGAUCCGCUGAUCAUGCAGAAUCUGCUGCACCUGCCAGUCUUGGGUUGGCUGCUGGUCCUACAGUCCUCGAGACAGUCCAAGAUCAAGCGAGGCAAAACGGCACCACUCACCCUAAAGCCCCGAGCUCCGAUCAUACUGAUGCAUUAAAGAAACGCCUGCAACAGCUCGUGAAUUCACAUCCCGUGUUUCUGUUCAUGAAAGGAAGCCCUGAGCAGCCCCAGUGUGGCUUCAGCCGGAAGGUUGUUG
rnacentral:misc_RNA from 1 species